GCCGGCCUAGCUCAACUGGUAGAGCAACUGACUUGUAAUCAGUGGGUUGGGGGUUCAAGUCCUCUGGCCGGCACCA
rnacentral:tRNA from 1 species